AUUGAACGCUGGCGGAAUGCUUUACACGUGCAAGUCGAACGGCAGCACGGACUUCGGUCUGGAGGCGAGUGGCGAACGGGUGAGUAAUGUAUCGGAACGUGCCCAGUCGUGGGGGAUAACGUAGUGAAAAUUACGCUAAUACCGCAUACGAUCUAUGGAUGAAAGCGGGGGAUCGCAAGACCUCGCGCGAUUGGAGCGGCCGAUAUCAGAUUAGGUAGUUGGUGGGGUAAAGGCCCACCAAGCCAACGAUCUGUAGCUGGGCUGAGAGGACGACCAGCCACACUGGAACUGAGACACGGUCCAGACUCCUACGGGAGGCAGCAGUGGGGAAUUUUGGACAAUGGGCGAAAGCCUGAUCCAGCCAUUCCGCGUGCAGGAUGAAGGCCCUCGGGUUGUAAACUGCUUUUGUACAGAACGAAAAGGUUUCUACUAAUACUAGGAGCUCAUGACGGUACUGUAAGAAUAAGCACCGGCUAACUACGUGCCAGCCGCCGCAGUAA
rnacentral:rRNA from 1 species